CCUACGGGUGGCAGCAGUGGGGGAUAUUGCACAAUGGGGGAAACCCUGAUGCAGCGAUGCCGUGUGAAUGAAGGCGGCCUUCGGGGUGUAAAGCUCUGUCGCAGGGGAAGAAAAUGACGGUACCCUGCAAAGAAGCCCCGGCUAACUACGUGCCAGCAGCCGCGGUAAUACGUAGGGAGCAAGCGUUGUCCGGAAUUACUGGGUGUAAAGGGAGCGCAGGCGGGAGGGUAAGCUGAAGGUGAAAUCUAGGGGCCAACCCCGUGGCUGCUUUUAAAACUGUUCGUCUGGAGUGAAGGAGAGGCAGGCGGAAUUCCUAGUGUAGCGGUGAAAUGCGUAGAUAUUAGGCGGAACACCGGUGGCGAAGGCGGCCUGCUGGGCUUUUACUGACGUUGAGGCUCGAAGGCGUGGGUAGCAAACAGGAUUAGAUACCCCUGUAGUC
rnacentral:rRNA from 1 species